rnacentral:rRNA from 1 species
GGCAGCAGUAGGGAUCUUCCACAAUGGACGCAAGUCUGAUGGAGCAACGCCGCGUGAGUGAAGAAGGGUUUCGGCUCGUAAAGCUCUGUUGUUAAAGAAGAACGUGGGUAAGAGUAACUGUUUACCCAGUGACGGUAUUUAACCAGAAAGCCACGGCUAACUACGUGCCAGCAGCCGCGGUAAUACGUAGGUGGCAAGCGUUAUCCGGAUUUAUUGGGCGUAAAGCGAGCGCAGGCGGUCUUUUAAGUCUAAUGUGAAAGCCUUCGGCUCAACCGAAGAAGUGCAUUGGAAACUGGGAGACUUGAGUGCAGAAGAGGACAGUGGAACUCCAUGUGUAGCGGUGAAAUGCGUAGAUAUAUGGAAGAACACCAGUGGCGAAGGCGGCUGUCUGGUCUGCAACUGACGCUGAGGCUCGAAAGCAUGGGUAGCGAACAGGAUUAGAUACCCUGGUAGUCCAUGCCGUAAACGAUGAUUACUAAGUGUUGGAGGGUUUCCGCCCUUCAGUGCUGCAGCUAACGCAUUAAGUAAUCCGCCUGGGGAGUACGACCGCAAGGUUGAAACUCAAAAGAAUUGACGGGGGCCCGCACAAGCGGUGGAGCAUGUGGUUUAAUUCGAAGCUACGCGAAGAACCUUACCAGGUCUUGACAUCUUCUGACAGUCUAAGAGAUUAGAGGUUCCCUUCGGGGACAGAAUGACAGGUGGUGCAUGGUUGUCGUCAGCUCGUGUCGUGAGAUGUUGGGUUAAGUCCCGCAACGAGCGCAACCCUUAUUACUAGUUGCCAGCAUUAAGUUGGGCACUCUAGUGAGACUGCCGGUGACAAACCGGAGGAAGUGGGGACGACGUCAAAUCAUCAUGCCCCUUAUGACCUGGCUACACACGUGCUACAUGGAUGGUACAACGAGUCG